rnacentral:rRNA from 1 species
GUCAUGGCUCAGGAUGAACGCUGGCGGCGUGCUUAACACAUGCAAGUCGAACGGGAAAUAUUUCAUUGAGACUUCGGUGGAUUUGAUCUAUUUCUAGUGGCGGACGGGUGAGUAACGCGUGGGUAACCUGCCUUAUACAGGGGGAUAACAGUCAGAAAUGGCUGCUAAUACCGCAUAAGCGCACAGAGCUGCAUGGCUCAGUGUGAAAAACUUUGGUGGUAUAAGAUGGACCCG